UGUCACAGUCAUUUUAAAAGACGUAUAUGGUGCUAAUAUAACAGUUGGUCCUACUUCUGUUACUGUUCCUAUUUAUGUGACAGCAAGUUUUACUUGUAAAGGAACUGGGAAUGAACUGAAUUGGCUAGUAGGGAGUACUCCAGUAACAAAAUCAGUUAAACAACAAAGAGAUAUAUCUUUUACUGAUCCUGGUGGUGGUCCUGGUAACUUAUCAUCAGUACUUACUAUCACUGGGUUGCCUGUUAAUGAUGGAUUACAAAUUGGUUGUCAAAUAAUAUCAUAUCCUCCUUUUGAACAAGUGUUCUCUGACACUGGUAGUACACUAACAAUAAGAGGAGUAUCACCAGUUGAAGACAUACAAUGGUCUAUUGAUGAUCAGUUAUUGUCAUGGUCUCCUCCUUCUUUCUAUUCUGAUGAUAUACCACUAGGAGCUGUCCCUACAUAUAAUGUACUAGUGAAUGGUAUCAGUAUUACUAAUACUACUGAUACUAGUGUAUGGUUGAAUACUACUGGAUUACCUUGUACUAAUGUUACAACUGUCGGUGUUACUGCAUCUAUUGGACAAUAUGAAUCACAA